rnacentral:rRNA from 1 species
CCCUUAGAUGUUCUGGGCUGCACGCGCGCUACACUGGUGCGUUCAGCGAGUUUAGCACCUUAACAGAUAUGUUUGGGUAAUCUUCUGAAAACGCACCGUGAUGGGGAUCGAUUAUUGUAAUUAUUAAUCGUCAACGAGGAAUUCCUAGUAAGUGUGGAUCAUCAGUUCGCGCUGAUUACGUCCCUGCCCUUUGUACACACCGCCCGUCGCUCCUACCGAUUGGGUGUGCUGGUGAAAUGUUCGGAUCGGCCGUUUGUCGCGGUUUCCGCGUCAUGUGGCUGAGAAGUUCAUUAAACCCUCCCACCUAGAGGAAGGAGAAGUCGUAACA